rnacentral:rRNA from 2 species
CACGCCGUAAACGAUGAUAACUAGCUGUCGGGGCUCUUAGAGCUUCGGUGGCGCAGCUAACGCAUUAAGUUAUCCGCCUGGGGAGUACGGCCGCAAGGUUAAAACUCAAAUGAAUUGACGGGGGCCUGCACAAGCGGUGGAGCAUGUGGUUUAAUUCGAAGCAACGCGCAGAACCUUACCAGCGUUUGACAUGUCCGGACGAUUUCGGGAGACCGAUCUCUUCCCUUCGGGGACUGGAACACAGGUGC